GACGAACGCUGGCGGCGUGCUUAACACAUGCAAGUCGAACGGAAAGGCCCUGCUUUUGUGUGGUGCUCGAGUGGCGAACGGGUGAGUAACACGUGAGUAACCUGCCCUUGACUUUGGGAUAACUUCAGGAAACUGGGGCUAAUACCGGAUAGGAUCUCCUGCUGCAUGGUGGGGGUUGGAAAGUUUCGGCGGUUGGGGAUGGACUCGCGGCUUAUCAGCUUGUUGGUGGGGUAGUGGCUUACCAAGGCUUUGACGGGUAGCCGGCCUGAGAGGGUGACCGGCCACAUUGGGACUGAGAUACGGCCCAGACUCCUACGGGAGGCAGCAGUGGGGAAUAUUGCACAAUGGGCGGAAGCCUGAUGCAGCAACGCCGCGUGCGGGAUGACGGCCUUCGGGUUGUAAACCGCUUUCGCCUGUGACGAAGCGUGAGUGACGGUAAUGGGUAAAGAAGCACCGGCUAACUACGUG
rnacentral:rRNA from 1 species